rnacentral:rRNA from 1 species
GUGGGGAAUAUUGGGCAAUGGGGGCAACCCUGACCCAGCGACGCCGCGUGAGGGAAGAAGGCCUUAGGGUCGUAAACCUCUGUUGUGUGGGAAGAAGGAAGUGACGGUACCACACGAGGAAGUCCCGGCUAACUACGUGCCAGCAGCCGCGGUAAUACGUAGGGGACGAGCGUUGUCCGGAAUUACUGGGCGUAAAGGGCGCGUAGGCGGUCAUUUAAGUCAGCUGUGAAAUGGUCCGGCUCAACCGGAUCAUGCGGUUGAAACUGGAUGACUGGAGUGCUGGAGAGGCAAGUGGAAUGCCCAGUGUAGCGGUGAAAUGCGUAGAUAUUGGGAAGAACACCGGUGGCGAAGGCGACUUGCUGGCCAGCAACUGACGCUGAGGCGCGAAAGCCAGGGGAGCAAACGGGAUUAGAUACCCUAGUAGUCC